GAUGAACGCUGGCGGCGCGCCUAACACAUGCAAGUCGAACGAUUAAAGCACCUUCGGGUGUGUAUAAAGUGGCGAACGGCUGAGUAACACGUGGGCAACCUGCCCCUUUCAUUGGGAUAGCCACGGGAAACCGUGGAUAAUACCGAAUACUUCGAGACUUCCGCAUGGAAGACUCGAGAAAGCUCCGGCGGAGAGGGAUGGGCCCGCGGCCUGUUAGCUUGUUGGUGGGGUAACGGCCUACCAAGGCAAUGAUGGGUAGCUGGGUUGAGAGACCGACCAGCCAGAUUGGGACUGAGACACGGCCCAGACUCCUACGGGAGGCAGCAGUGGGGAAUCUUGCACGAUGGGCGAAAGCCUGAUGCAGCGACGCCGCGUGCGGGAUGAAUGCCUUCGGGUUGUAAACCGCUUUCAGCAGGGACGAGGCGAAAGUGACGGUACCUGCAGAAGAAGCCCCGGCUAACUACGUG
rnacentral:rRNA from 1 species